AUUUUUCCAGUAUCCAGACAUUCAGAUAACCAGAACUUGAAGGGGAGGAAGCUAUGGUUUGCAUUUUUCUUUAGGAAACAAGUAAGUCAGAACUGCUGAAAACAGGACUUUAAGUAGAAAAAGCAACAUAUGAGACCAAUGGACUAUGCGUUCUUGCCUUCUUCAAACACACUUUCUGCGAAACCAGGCUCCUUCCCCAUCCUGGCAGAAGUUUCAACAGCCCUCUCUCCUAUAGGUCACGCUGACAUCUUACAUUCCAUGAAGAGGAUGGUGAGAUCGAACAGCCAGCCAGGUGUGGUAGAGGGAAGAUUUCUCCGACUAAGCUAGGAGAACUGACUCUCCAAAGAGAAUCUAUAAGAAUACCAGGCUGGGAUGCCAAAACUACAUGCUGAUACAAAGUAUUUGUAAAGGAUGAAGAAAAGCAGAUCACUCUAAGAAUGACAGGUUUCCUGGGUGCUGUGAAGCAUACCUAAACAGAUAGCUGCAAAGAAGGAUCUUUUCUCUAUUUCAAGACAUGAACACUGCCCCGUCCCCACUCCUGGUAUUUUGUACCCUAAACAAAAUUGGGUAUUUGCCUGAUAUAACCUGAAAAAUGUGGUGCGUUAUACUUUACAUAGUGAUUUAUAGUUUACAGGCUGCUUUUACGAUGGUCUCAUUUAGUUUUCCGAAAUCAAGCUGUGAUAUAGUGCUAUUAUUCCCC
rnacentral:antisense_RNA from 1 species